ACGGGGUGCAGCAGGCGCGAAACCUCCGCAAUACACGAAAGUGUGACGGGGUUACCCAAAGUGUUCUAUUUAGAACUGUGGUAGGUGAGUAAUGUUCCCUACUAGAAAGGAGAGGGCAAGGCUGGUGCCAGCCGCCGCGGUAAAACCAGCUCUUCAAGUGGUCGGGAUAAUUAUUGGGCUUAAAGUGUCCGUAGCCGGUUUAGUAAGUUCCUGGUAAAAUCGGGUAGCUUAACUAUCUAUAUGCUAGGAAUACUGCUAUACUAGAGGGCGGGAGAGGUCUGAGGUACUACAGGGGUAGGGGUGAAAUCUUAUAAUCCUUGUAGGACCACCAGUGGCGAAGGCGUCAGACUGGAACGCGCCUGACGGUGAGGGACGAAAGCCAGGGGAGCGAACCGGAUUAGAUACCCGGGUAGUCCUGGCCGUAAACGAUGCAUACUAGGUGAUGGCACGGCCAUGAGCCGUGUCAGUGCCGUAGGGAAACCGUUAAGUGUGCCGCCUGGGAAGUACGGUCGCAAGGCUAAAACUUAAAGGAAUUGGCGGGGGAGCACCACAAGGGGUGAAGCCUGCGGUUCAAUUGGACUCAACGCCGGAAAACUUACCAGGGGAGACAGCAGUAUGACGGUCAGGUUGACGACCUUACCUAACGAGCUGAGAGGAGGUGCAUGGCCGUCGCCAGUUCGUGCCGUGAGGUAUCCUGUUAAGUCAG
rnacentral:rRNA from 1 species